AUGCACGCUGGCGGCGUGCCUAAUACCUGCCAGUCGAGCGAACGGACGAGAAGCUUGCUUCUCUGAUGUUAGCGGCGGACGGGUGAGUAACACGUGGAUAACCUACCUAUAAGACUGGGAUAACUUCGGGAAACCGUAGCUAAUACCGGAUAAUAUUUUGAACCGCAUGGUUCAAAAGUGAAAGACGGUCUUGCUGUCACUUAUAGAUGGAUCCGCGCUGCAUUAGCUAGUUGGUAAGGUAACGGCUUACCAAGGCAACGAUGCAUAGCCGACCUGAGAGGGUGAUCGGCCACACUGGAACUGAGACACGGUCCAGACUCCUACGGGAGGCAGCAGUAGGGAAUCUUCCGCAAUGGGCGAAAGCCUGACGGAGCAACGCCGCGUGAGUGAUGAAGGUCUUCGGAUCGUAAAACUCUGUUAUUAGGGAAGAACAUAUGUGUAAGUAACUGUGCACAUCUUGACGGUACCUAAUCAGAAAGCCACGGCUAACUACGUG
rnacentral:rRNA from 1 species